rnacentral:lncRNA from 1 species
UGCAGCUGUUGGCUGCUCUGUGGUCUGGGGGGCCGUAUCCUCAGCAGCGUGGACUGGCUCGCCCGUCCCCUGGCUGGCAGCCUGGCCGGGGUCGACAUCCGACGCCGCACUACAGGAACAAAAGUGUAAUUUCAAAAAAAAAAAAAUUCAAAGAGGAGUCCAAAAUACGUAAGUCGAACACUUACAGGUCUGAUCGACGGUGGGUGGCGGUGAACCUCCUCCUCGCCCGGCCGGUCGGCACCUGCGCCCCCAUCUCGACAACUUGCGGUGCAUGGGCGUCGCUGGCCACUCGAUCAGUAGCGGCCGGCGCAAUAUCUGGGCGGCCCCGGGGCCGUCGGACCAACGACGGCGCAGCCUCCUCGUCGUCGUCGUCGUCGUCAACGAUCCGCACGAGCCGACGACGCUUCGGUGCUUGGCUGCUCUCCGCCGGUAGAUCUGCCGGCAGCUUCGGUGUCGGCAAAGGAUCUGCCGGCAAUGGCCUCUUCCCCGCUACCCUCU